GAGGGGAUAUAUAGUGCUGCAGGGAGCAGAGCGCGGGGGGUCUGCUGUGUCGGUUGGAGCUAGGAGAGGUUCAGGAUCGGGACGGAGGAGAUUGUUGUGCCGGACCAGGAGGCAUCUGACCCCGACUCACAGAAACUCACGCUGACUUACUUACCCGAUAGGAGCGGUGGGGUGUUUGGACCCAGAGCACAUCGAGUGUCACAAAGGGGAUGUAUAUAGCCAGCCAGCAGCUGAGCUGCCACAGCAAAGACAGCAAAGGCAGAGGACGGAGACAGGCGGUGAUGCAGGGACGCCACGGAGGGGAAGACUGAGGACGGAGACUGUUGGAUUGACGCGUCCCCGAGCUGCGGUUCCUCCUCUGAGUGACAGCACCAGCAACCUGCCUCUUGUGUGAGUACAGUACAAUAGUACAGUGUAUGCUGGUCACUUCAUUAGACACAGCUGAUAGCCCAGGCCAGUGACAGCAGCUCCGCACCAGAACAGGCACAGCAUUGAUAGAAGCCUGCAUUGAUGCAAGCCCCACAUCCUACAGUGUUAAGCAGGAAAAAGGGAGCAGCAGCUUGAGAGGACAUAGAUAUACGCAGGCAGCGCAUAACUGGCACAGUAACUGUCAUACUGUGAGAGGACCAGAGUACAUCUGCUAGUGAGUCUUCAUGCCAGCAAGAGGCUGGGGGAGAUAAGUGAUCCAAUUCAGCUUUAGUGCCAGGGAGAGAGGAUUUACCAGAUCAAACUUACCAAUUACCACCAUAUUAUAAGGAAUGGGCAACAAAUAUUACAGCAAACAUUAAGGCGAUGGAGUCCCACUGACCUACUAACAGAAGCAACAAGGUACUGUCGGCUGUCAAACAGAUCCGCCUCUUGGCAAGAGCAGUGUAAACUGGGACCUGAUGUCAUGACGUCACGUCGGGGCCAGACUUAGAGAGGGAGGAGCAGCAGUACACAGCAGCACCGCCGUCCAGGAGUGAGGAGAAGGAUGCCACCGCCAUGGGAGAUAGACAGUGACAGCAGCUGAUGAACUGUUAGUUGGUCAGCAGUGUGACACGAUCCUGUAUUCUUCAGACAUUGCUGCUACAACCCCACCAAGUUAUGACACUAAUGGCAUCAUAAAAGCCUGCUCACAGAAACAUGACAUUGAUGUCAUCAUACAACUUCCCCUGUCCACUUGAAGCAAAUGGUGCAGUGUAGUCACACCCACCUCUUCUUUUAAUACCAUAUCUCCCGGAAACAAUGUACAAAAAAAUAGGCUAGUGAAAUAAGGGGAAAAAGAACAGUCAUUUAUCCCACUGCAUUUCCCCUGGGAAGGGACACAUGAACAGAUCAGCUGUGAAUUCAUUUAUCUGGCUUGUUCCUGGUCUGCAAACAAACAACAGUUACCACGUCUUUCAUUGGCACAUAGGAAUCUCUGUAAACUGAUUACACCCUCAGUAAUUCUAUUAUUUGCUAAUGUAUUUCAUAGUUAUCAGCUUAGAACAGGAUGGGAGGGACAGAGUACAGGUGACCACAGGUGAAGUGUUCUUACACCUGAAUGUAAAUAUGAGGGUGGUUUAAUAAAUAAAGUAACAAGACCUCUCAUUGCAUACAUUUAUUCAAGUCAUACAUAUACGUAUAAUCAAUAAUAUGGCCAUGGAACACAAUCAUUUUCCACAUAGUCCCCAUACUUGUCUAAGCAUUUGUUUCAAUAGUACUUCCAAGGACAUUUUCCUGGCAUAGAACAAAUCUGUGUCAAUCAUCUGAACCCCAGUUGCUCAUGAACGAUUUUGAGCACAGAACCCACUGAGAUGUUCAGUGCAUCGGCAAUAUCACUAGAAUGCGUUUGUCCUUCUGAAUCAGCCCUUGACAUUGUCAUCUUUGGUGGACUUGCUUGGCCGGCCGGAUCACUGCUUAUCUUGAACGUCUUUUCUGGAGUUAUCAAAGGCGGGGCACGAAACCCAAACCUGUUUUUGUGACUUGAUGUUAUCAUUGUACACCUCAACAAGCUGGUGAUGAAUUUAAGCUGCUGAUGUGUCCUUAGGACACAGAAAUCAAAUCACACUAAACAUCUCAAUGUUUGAUCAUGUUUCCGUCAGCCCCACCAUCUGACAACUGAUGUUGGGAUAGUACAACGGAUAUGAGGCCCAGUCUAAUUGCCAUGAGGGCAAGCAGUGAUCUACCUGUUUGUGGCCUGGUGGAAAAUCAGAAAGAAAGAUAGAACAAUACACACGUGAGAGGUCUUGUUAUAUUGCUGACUGAACCAGAGUCGUAUAAAUAUAAAAAAAGUCACAAUAAAAGGUGACAUUUUUCAUUUACUGAACACUUCAGUGUGCUGAUGAAAUCAUAGCUUUUAUCACCUGCUACACCCAUUAUCCAGUCUAUAAACCCUUCUGGGCAUAUUUAUCACAAUCCACUGAUUUGAUGUGAUCAUUUUCACACUCAUUUUCAAAGUUGGAGUGUCGGGACAGAGAUUCCAAGAAAUCCCUGUCAGCAAAGGGUAGAAGCAAAGAGAUACAGCAGCUACCUCUAUCAGCCAUCAGGCUGUGCAUCUGUAUCCUUCUCUUGUAUAAAAUGCGUUAGAGUAGCCCAUCUGAAGAUGGCAUUAGGUGCUGGGGCCAAACUUUUCAAUGGCUUGAUAAACUUCACAUUUUAGUAGCCCCCAUAGAAACCAGCCCACGGGAGGAGUUGGGUGGAUCGUGAGCAUACUGUACAUUCAAUCCCACAAAAUGAGUGCCACAUGUAGUAGGCACGGUCCUGAUUUCCCCUCACUUUUACUACUCACUACAAACAAGGGAUCUAAGUGCAGGGGUUUUGAAGGAGAAAACUGAUAUGGAAAUAAUGAAGGGAAUGUUUCUAAAUGGUCUGAGUUCAGUCCCAGCUCCAAACACUGAUUUACCCACUGGUUAGACCAGAAGAAAUAUCCAUGCAGGAGGGCGAUUCAUAAGCUCAGACCUUGAGGAAGAUGCACUGUGUAUCGAAACGCGUUGCCUGAGGAGGACUGUGACUGGACUAAUUCAUCACCUGCCGGUGGACUGGGAUAUCUGGGGGAUGCCUGGGAUAUUCUUUGUUAACUGCACUAUUGUCUACCUUUUUACAGUAGAUCAAACCAUCUGGUGAGAGUAUAUUCAUACUGUUUUAGUUCGUAUGUCAUUUUAUGAAUGUGAUUAAAAUGAUAAAUACA